CAGUCGCCGCGGUAAUACAGAGGGUGCGAGCGUUAAUCGGAUUUACUGGGCGUAAAGCGUGCGUAGGCGGCUUCUUAAGUCGGAUGUGAAAUCCCUGAGCUUAACUUAGGAAUUGAAUUCGAUACUGGGAAGCUAGAGUAUGGGAGAGGAUGGUAGAAUUCCAGGUGUAGCGGUGAAAUGCGUAGAGAUCUGGAGGAAUACCGAUGGCGAAGGCAGCCAUCUGGCCUAAUACUGACGCUGAGGUACGAAAGCAUGGGGAGCAAACAGGAUUAGAUACCCCAGUAGUCCCUGUCUCUUAUAC
rnacentral:rRNA from 1 species